GCCGGAAUAGCUCAGUUGGUA
rnacentral:tRNA from 16 species